rnacentral:rRNA from 1 species
GACGUAGGGGACGAGCGUUGUCCGGAUUCAUUGGGCGUAAAGAGCUCGUAGGCGGCUGUUCAAGUCGAACGUGAAAACUCGGAGCUCAACUCCGAGCCUGCGUUCGAUACUGGACGGCUAGAGUCUGGUAGGGGGAUCUGGAAUUCCUGGUGUAGCGGUGAAAUGCGCAGAUAUCAGGAGGAACACCGAUGGCGAAGGCAGCUCGCUGGGACGGUACUGACGCUGAGGCGCGAAAGCGUGGGGAGCAAACAGG